GUGGGGAAUCUUAGACAAUGGGGGCAACCCUGAUCUAGCCAUGCCGCGUGAUCGAUGAAGGCCUUAGGGUUGUAAAGAUCUUUCAGCUGGGAAGAUAAUGACGGUACCAGCAGAAGAAGCCCCGGCUAACUCCGUGCCAGCAGCCGCGGUAAUACGGAGGGGACUAGCGUUGUUCGGAAUUACUGGGCGUAAAGCGCACGUAGGCGGAUUGGAAAGUUGGGGGUGAAAUCCCGGGGCUCAACCCCGGAACUGCCUUUGAAACUCCCAGUCUUGAGUUCGAGAGAGGUGAGUGGAAUUCCGAGUGUAGAGGUGAAAUUCGUAGAUAUUCGGAGGAACACCAGUGGCGAAGGCGGCUCACUGGCUCGAUACUGACGCUGAGGUGCGAAAGCGUGGGGAGCAAACAGGAUUAGAAACCCGUGUAGUCC
rnacentral:rRNA from 1 species